rnacentral:rRNA from 1 species
UUCGGUGUGAGUAGAGUGGCGGACGGGUGAGUAACGCGUGGGAAUCUACCUAGUAGUGGAGGAUAACUCGGGGAAACUCGAGCUAAUACUGCAUACGCCCUACGGGGGAAAGCGGGGGAUCUUCGGACCUCGUGCUAUUGGAUGAGCCCGCGUUAGAUUAGCUUGUUGGUGAGGUAAUGGCUCACCAAGGCGACGAUCUAUAGCUGGUCUGAGAGGAUGAUCAGCCACAUUGGGACUGAGACACGGCCCAAACUCCUACGGGAGGCAGCAGUGGGGAAUAUUGCGCAAUGGGCGAAAGCCUGACGCAGCCAUGCCGCGUGUGUGAAGAAGGCCUUCGGGUUGUAAAGCACUUUCAAUAGGGAGGAAAGGUUGUAGUUUAAUACGCUGCAACUGUGACGUUACCUAUAGAAGAAGGACCGGCUAACUCCGUGCCAGCAGCCGCGGUAAUACGGAGGGUCCGAGCGUUAAUCGGAAUUACUGGGCGUAAAGCGCGCGUAGGCGGCUUUGUUAGUCAGAUGUGAAAGCCCUGGGCUCAACCUAGGAACUGCAUUUGAUACUGCGAAGCUAGAGUAUGGUAGAGGAUAGUGGAAUUCCAGGUGUAGCGGUGAAAUGCGUAGAUAUCUGGAGGAACAUCAGUGGCGAAGGCGACUGUCUGGACCAAUACUGACGCUGAGGUGCGAAAGCGUGGGGAGCAAACAGGAUUAGAUACCCUGGUAGUCCACGCCGUAAACGAUGUCUACUAGCCGUUGGGGAACUUGAUUCUUUAGUGGCGCAGCUAACGCAC